rnacentral:rRNA from 1 species
UGGUGAAUAUUGCACAAUGGAGGGAACUCUGAUGCAGCGACGCCGCGUGAACGAAGAAGGCUUUCGAGUCGUAAAGUUCUUUUAUAUGGGAAGAUAAUGACGGUACCAUAAGAAAAAGCCCCGGCUAACUACGUGCCAGCAGCCGCGGUAAUACGUAGGGGGCUAGCGUUGUCCGGAAUCACUGGGCGUAAAGGGUUCGCAGGCGGAAAUGCAAGUCAGGUGUAAAAGGCAGUAGCUUAACUACUGUAAGCAUUUGAAACUGCAUAUCUUGAGAAGAGUAGAGGUAAGUGGAAUUUUUAGUGUAGCGGUGAAAUGCGUAGAUAUUAAAAAGAAUACCGGUGGCGAAGGCGACUUACUGGGCUCAUUCUGACGCUGAGGAACGAAAGCGUGGGUAGCAAACAGG